AAGAGGAAAUCAAGGGUUAGGCAUUAAUCAUAUUUUUCCCUAAACUCUGAAUUCAAGUCAAAGACUCUACUUGGAUGUUAUUGAUCAAUAAAUAACUGUUUAUUAUUGUCUUGUCUGUUAGGUCCCUGUUUACUUUUGUGCCUGAUCAUUUCCAGGAUUACGUUAGUCAGAUUAUGAUGUUGGUCAACUCAGAGGGACCAAGAGAAACUCUUGUUGGUAUAUCUUCCCCCCUAUCCUGGACUGGACUGAUGCUGUGGUUGGAUAUUUAGAGGACAUUAUCAUCGACCAAGAGUUCUACGAGUCGCAGGGAAAUUCCAUGGACAAAUACUAUCAGGAAUUUGAAUACGGGAAUUAUAAAAUUGCUUAUGCUGCUUAUAUUUUAACAAAACAUAUUUACUUAGUAGAAAAGCAUAUGAAAGAACAGCUGCUGGAGCUUUCCUGGAUUUAACUUGGUGACUUUCACAUUACAGCCCACAAAGAUGAAAUGAUUGGUAACGUAUUUGACAGGCUGCUCCCGUUUAUGGAUUCUCUGUCUUUCAAAGAAAUGUUUCUGAACUACAAAGCAGAAAAGGGAGGUACAGGAAACAACCAGUGGGCUAGUGGCUACUUCAUGGUGAACAUUAUCUUUCUGUCAUCCAGAGCACUGCAACACUAGCUUUCACCUCCAGCCAAUGGGAUUGCUUUGGACACUACAGCCCAAUAGGUUGGGAGAAGAUUAGGCUAACAAUGACAGAAGAAUAGGUCUUAGGAAACCUGAAUUUGUUUGUGCCUGCUCAUUAAUGUUAAGUAUCAAUGAAUAAUAAAACAAAUCCAG